UUCUAGUCAUGACCUAUGGGAGUGCCACAGGGUUCAAUUCUCGGGCCGACUCUUUUUUUCCUGUAUAUAUCAAUGAUGUUGCUCUUGCUGCGGGCGAUUCCCUGAUCCACCUCUACGCAGACGACACCAUUCCAUGCAACACUCCUUCCGUGGCCUCCAACUGCUCUUAAACGCUAGUAAAACCAUGCUAGUAAAACCAACAAUGCAUGCUUUUCAAUCGUUCGCUGCCUGCACCCGCACGCCCGACUAGCAUCACCACCCUGGAUGGUUCCGACCUAGAAUAUGUGGACAUCUAUAAGUACCUAGGUGUCUGGCUAGACUGUAAACUCUCCUUCUAGACUCAUAUCAAACAUCUCCAAUCCAAAAUCAAAUCUAGAAUCGGCUUUCUAUUUCACAACAAAGCCUCCUUCACUCACACCGCCAAACUUACCCUAGUAAAACUGGCUAUCCUACCGAUCCUCGACUUUGGCGACGUCAUCUACAAAAUAACUUCCAAUACUCUACUCAGCAAACUGGAUGCAGUUUAUCACAGUGCCAUCCGCUUUGUUACUAAAGCACCUUAUACCACCCACCACUGCGACCUGUAUGCUCUAGUCGGCUGGCCCUCGCUACAUAUUCGUCGCCAGACCCACUGGCUCCAGGUCAUCUACAAGUCCAUGCUAGGUAAAGCUCCGCCUUAUCUCAGUUCACUGGUCAAGAUGGCAACACCCACCCGUAGCUCGCGCUCCAGCAGGUGUAUCUCACUGAUCAUCCCUAAAGCCAACACCUCAUUUGGCCGCCUUUCGUUCCAGUUCUCUGCUGCCUGUGACUGGAACGAGUUGCAAAAAUCGCUUAAGUUGAAGACUUUUAUCUCCCUCACCAACUUCAAACAUCUGCUAUCUGAGCAGCUAACCAAUCGCUGCAGCUGUACAUAGUUCAUCGGUAAAUAGCCCACCCAAUUUACCUACCUCAUCCCCAUACUGUUUAUAUUUAUUUACUUUUCUGCUCUUUUGCACACCAGUAUCUCUACCUGCACAUGACCAUCUGAUCAUUUAUCACUCCAGUGUUAAUCUGCUAAAUUGUAAUUAUUUGCCUACCUCCUCAUGCCUUUUGCACACAAUGUAUAUAGACUUUUUUUUUUUUAAAUAAAAAAACAUUUCUACUGUGUUAUUGACUUGUUUAUUGUUUACUCCAUGUGUAACUGUGUUGCUGUCUGUUCACACUGCUAUGCUUUAUCUUGGCCAGGUCGCAGUUGUAAAUGAGAACUUGUUCAACUAGCCUACCUGGUUAAAUAAAGGUGAAAUAAAAUAAAAAAAUAUCUUGUUACAUUUAUAAUUGAUGGCUUACUGGCC
ensembl:lncRNA